rnacentral:rRNA from 1 species
AUCAACUUUCGAUGGUAGGAUAGAGGCNUACUAUGGUGAUAACGGGUAACGGGGUGUUAGGGCACGACACCGAAGAGGGAGCNUGAGAAACGGCUACCACAUCCAAGGAUGGCAGCAGGCGCGCAAAUUACCCAAUCCUGACACAGGGAAGUAGUGACAAUAAAUAACAAUACGGGGUUCUUUCAGAUCUUGUAAUUGGAAUGAGUACAAUUUAAAUCUCUUAACGAGGAACAAUUGGAGGGCAAGUCUGAUGCCAGCAGCCGUGGUAAUUCUAGCUCCAAUAACGUAUAUUAAAGUUGUUACAGUUAAAAAGCUCGUAGUUGAAUUUCGGAAUCAAUAUGUUGGUCGUGCCAUUGGUACGUACUGGCAUUAUUGAUUCUUACCUUCUGAAGAACCUCAAUGUCAUUAAUUUGGUGUCUUGGGGAAUCAGGACUGUUACUUUGAAAAAAUUAGAGUGUUUAAAGCAGGCUCGCGCUUGAAUACAUUAGCAUGGAAUAAUGAAAUAGGACAUUUGAUUCUAUUUUGUUAGUUUCUAGGAUCGACGUAAUGAUUAAUAGGGAUAGUUAGGGGCAUUAGUAUUCAAUUGUCAGAGGUGAAAUUCUUGGAUUUAUUGAAGACUAACUACUGCAAAAGCAUUUGCCAAGGAUGUUUUUAUUAAUCAAGAACGAAAGUUAGGGGAUCGAAAACGAUCAGAUACCGUCGUAGUCUUAACCAUAAACUAUGCCGACUAGGGAUCAGAUGAUGUUAAUUUUUUAAUGACUCAUUCGGCGCCUUACGGGAAACCAAAGUGUUUGGGUUC